GACGAACGCUGGCGGCGUGCCUAAUACAUGCAAGUAGAACGCUGAAGGAGGAGCUUGCUUCUCUGGAUGAGUUGCGAACGGGUGAGUAACGCGUAGGUAACCUGCCUGGUAGCGGGGGAUAACUAUUGGAAACGAUAGCUAAUACCGCAUAAGAGUAGAUGUCGCAUGACAUUUGCUUAAAAGGUGCAAUUGCAUCACUACCAGAUGGACCUGCGUUGUAUUAGCUAGUUGGUGAGGUAACGGCUCACCAAGGCAACGAUACAUAGCCGACCUGAGAGGGUGAUCGGCCACACUGGGACUGAGACACGGCCCAGACUCCUACGGGAGGCAGCAGUAGGGAAUCUUCGGCAAUGGACGGAAGUCUGACCGAGCAACGCCGCGUGAGUGAAGAAGGUUUUCGGAUCGUAAAGCUCUGUUGUAAGAGAAGAACGAGUGUGAGAGUGGAAAGUCCACACUGUGACGGUAUCUUACCAGAAAGGGACGGCUAACUACGUG
rnacentral:rRNA from 1 species